rnacentral:rRNA from 1 species
GAACGGCUGCGGCGUGCUUAACACAUGCAAGUCGAACGAUGAUGCCCAGCUUGCUGGGUGGAUUAGUGGCGAACGGGUGAGUAACACGUGAGUAACCUGCCCUUGACUUCGGGAUAACUCCGGGAAACCGGGGCUAAUACCGGAUAUGAGCCGUCCUCGCAUGGGGGUGGUUGGAAAGUUUUUCGGUCAGGGAUGGGCUCGCGGCCUAUCAGCUUGUUGGUGGGGUGAUGGCCUACCAAGGCGACGACGGGUAGCCGGCCUGAGAGGGCGACCGGCCACACUGGGACUGAGACACGGCCCAGACUCCUACGGGAGGCAGCAGUGGGGAAUAUUGCACAAUGGGCGCAAGCCUGAUGCAGCGACGCCGCGUGAGGGAUGAAGGCCUUCGGGUUGUAAACCUCUUUCAGCAGGGAAGAAGCGCAAGUGACGGUACCUGCAGAAGAAGCGCCGGCUAACUACGUGCCAGCAGCCGCGGUAAUACGUAGGGCGCAAGCGUUGUCCGGAAUUAUUGGGCGUAAAGAGCUCGUAGGCGGUCUGUCGCGUCUGGUGUGAAAACCCAUGGCUCAACCAUGGGCUUGCAUCGGGUACGGGCAGACUAGAGUGCGGUAGGGGAGACUGGAAUUCCUGGUGUAGCGGUGGAAUGCGCAGAUAUCAGGAGGAACACCGAUGGCGAAGGCAGGUCUCUGGGCCGCAACUGACGCUGAGGAGCGAAAGCAUGGGGAGCGAACAGGAUUAGAUACCCUGGUAGUCCAUGCCGUAAA